GUCAACGUGGCCGAGUGGUUAAGGCGACAGACUUGAAAUCUGUUACCCUCUGGGUGCGUAGGUUCGAACCCUGCCGUUGACG